rnacentral:ncRNA from 1 species
ACAUACGGGGAGCUCGUGAUGCCGCGUGGACGGCGGGGCGGGCUGAGAGGGGGCGCCUUUCCGCCUCGACCCGCGGAACCUGAUAUGGGUAAUGCCAACGAAGGGAGUU